rnacentral:miRNA from 1 species
GUGCAAAAGUAACGGUGGUUUUUGCAUCAAAAUGGCAAAAACUGCAAUUACUUUCACACC